UUAUAAUUCUGAUCCAUUUUUGAUUCAUAUCAAUCUCUUUGUCCCACCAAACUCAAAACACAUUUUCACUCUGCGCUCUUUGCACUGAAGUUUUCUACAUUGUCGGCAGUGUCACUUUCACUUCUCUGUCUUCAAAUAAUUUGAGGAAUGGAAAUAACCACCACCUGAAUUACGAAUUUGUACGUGUCUUUCUUGGUCUUGGAAUAUUAGGUUCAUUUUAGAGUUCAACAACUGAAGCUGCUCACACUUUUAGGGAUCUGAGUUUUGUUUUUGGUAAAAGAAAAAAAAUGGGAAGUUUUGAGGAGAAAGUUGUUGCCGUGAUCAUGGUGGGAGGACCCACAAAAGGUACACGAUUCCGGCCAUUGUCAUUGAAUAUCCCAAAGCCACUCUUUCCAUUAGCAGGACACCCUAUGGUUCAUCAUCCAAUUUCUGCUUGCAAAAGGAUUCCGAACCUAGCGCAGAUCUACCUCGUUGGCUUCUAUGAGGAGCGUGAAUUUGCAUUAUAUGUUUCCUCAAUCUCGAAUGAACUUAAAGUUCCUGUCAGAUAUUUGAAGGAGGACAAGCCACAUGGUUCAGCUGGGGGACUCUACAACUUCAGGGAUCUACUAAUGGAAGACAGCCCGUCGCAUAUUUUUUUGCUGAACUGUGAUGUCUGCUGCAGUUUUCCACUGCCUGAGAUGCUUGAGGCUCAUAGAAGAUAUGGUGGGAUGGGUACGAUUCUUGUCAGCAAGGUGUCCGCUGAAUCAGCUUAUCAAUUUGGUGAACUAGUUGCUGAUCCUGUUACUAAUGAACUGUUGCAUUACACAGAGAAACCUGAAACUUUUGUAAGUGACCUCAUCAAUUGUGGUGUCUAUAUAUUUACCCCGGAUAUCUUCAAUGCUAUACAACGAGUAUCCACUCAAAGGAAAGACAGAGCUAACUUAAGGCGUUUAUCCAGCUCCGAAGCUCUUCAACCACCAAAUAGGAGUCUCCCAACAGACUUUGUUCGGCUGGAUCAAGAUAUUUUAACCCCUCUUGCAGGGAAGAAGCAGUUGUAUACCUAUGAAACCAUGGAUUUCUGGGAACAAAUAAAAACACCUGGAAUGUCUUUGAAAUGCUCGGCUCUGUACCUUGCUCAAUACAGAUCCACCUCACCACACCUUUUGGCAAGUGGAGAUGGCUCAAAGUGUGCAUCCAUCAGUGGCGAUGUUUAUAUUCAUCCAUCAGCUAAAGUUCACCCCACUGCAAAGAUCGGUCCAAAUGUGUCCAUUUCUGCAAAUGCUCGUAUUGGAGCUGGUGCCAGGCUCAUCAAUUGUAUUAUCCUUGAUGAUGGUGAAAUCAAGGAAAAUGCUGUUGUUAUUCAUGCAAUUGUUGGUUGGAAGUCUUCCAUUGGCAGAUGGUCCCGCGUCCAGGUAAAUACGCAUGAUGAGUAUAGAAGCUAGAUGCAGUGCAUGGAUGAUAAACAAGGAUUAAUAUUUUCAAAUAACGGGUCAAGAACUUGGUUCUUGUACCAAAGGCUGCAGGAGACUACAAUGCCAAGCUAGGUGUCACAAUUCUUGGUGAAUCUGUAUCGGUUGAAGACGAGGUUGUGGUAGUGAACAGC